UGAGGAAUUUUGCGCAAUAGGGGAAACCCUGACGCAGCAACGCCGCGUGAGUGACGAAGGCCUUCGGGUCGUAAAGCUCUGUCGGGCAGGACAAAGUUCUGUGGGUAAACAGCUCGCAGAAUUGAUGGUACUGCUAGAGGAAGCACCGGCUAACUCCGUGCCAGCAGCCGCGGUAAUACGGAGGGUGCAAGCGUUGUUCGGAAUUACUGGGCGUAAAGCGCGUGCAGGCGGUUCGGUAAGUCAGAUGUGAAAGCCCUGGGCUCAACCCAGGAAGUGCAUUUGAUACUGCCGGGCUAGAGUAUGGGAGAGGAGAGUGGAAUUCCCAGUGUAGAGGUGAAAUUCGUAGAUAUUGGGAGGAACACCCGUGGCGAAGGCGACUCUCUGGACCAAUACUGACGCUGAGACGCGAAAGCGUGGGGAGCAAACAG
rnacentral:rRNA from 1 species